CAGCGACUUAUAUUCUGUAGCAAGGUUAACCGAAUAGGGGAGCCGGAGGGAAACCGAGUCUUAAUUGGGCGUUAAGUUGCAGGGUAUAGACCCGAAACCCGGUGAUCUAGCCAUGGGCAGGUUGAAGGUUGGGUAACACUAACUGGAGGACCGAACCGACUAAUGUUGAAAAAUUAGCGGAUGACCUGUGGCUGGGGGUGAAAGGCCAAUCAAACCGGGAGAUAGCUGGUUCUCCCCGAAAGCUAUUUAGGUAGCGCCUCGUGAAUUCAUCUCCGGGGGUAGAGCACUGUUUCGGCUAGGGGGCCAUCCCGGCUUACCAACCCGAUGCAAACUGCGAAUACCGGAGAAUGUUAUCACGGGAGACACACGGCGGGUGCUAACGUCCGUCGUGAAGAGGGAAACAACCCAGACCGCCAGCUAAGGUCCCAAAGUCAUGGUUAAGUGGGAAACGAUGUGGGAAGGCCCAGACAGCCAGGAUGUUGGCUUAGAAGCAGCCAUCAUUUAAAGAAAGCGUAAUAGCUCACUGGUCGAGUCGGCCUGCGCGGAAGAUGUAACGGGGCUAAACCAU
rnacentral:rRNA from 1 species